GGCCACGGGCUGGUGGUGGCCCGCCGGGCCCUGCGCAGGUUCUUGUUCCGGCAGCUCCUGCUGGCAACACGGGGUGGCCCCGAGGGCAAGGAGCAGUCGGUACUGGCCCCCCAGCCUGGGCCCGGGCCCCCCUUUGCCCUCAAGCCCUCGACCUUCCUGCACCUCUACAUCAGCAACACCCCCGAGGGAGCUGCUCAUGACAUCUACCUCCCACCAUCCGCCGAGGGCAGCUUCCUGCACAGCCCAUCCCUCCGCCUGCAGGCCCACAUCCGCGGCGAGCUGAGGCCCGUGUGCCACGUGGCGCCCGCGCUGCGCGACACCCACGUGGGCUGCCUCUCCGCCAGUGACAA